GAUGAACGCUGGCGGCGUGCCUAAUACAUGCAAGUCGAGCGAACGGACGCGAAGCUUGCUUCUCUGAUGUUAGCGGCAGACGUGUGAGUCACACGUGUAUACCCCACCUAUAAGACUGGGAUAACUUCGGAAAACCGGAUCUAAUAGCGGAUAAUAUUUUGAACCGCAUGGUUCAAAGGUGAAAUACGGUGUUUCUGUCACUUAUAGAUGGAUCCGCGCUGCAUUAGCUAGUUGGUAGGUUAACGGCUUUCCAAGGCAACGAUGCAUAGCCGACCUGAGAGACGGGUAGGCGACCUGGGAAGUGAGACACCGUCAAGGCGACUACGGGAGGCAGCAGACGGGAACGUGACGCAGUAGGGGGGAGCCUGACGGAGCGGCGCGGAGUGAGUGAUGAAGGUCUUCGGAUCGUAAAACUGUGUUAUUAGGGAAAAACAGAUGUGUAAGUAAAUGUGCACAGAUUGACGGUACCUAAUAAGAAAGCAACGGCUAACUACGUG
rnacentral:rRNA from 1 species